rnacentral:ncRNA from 2 species
UUUAAGGUGCGCCGUCGCUGCAAAAUCAGCGGCCGGAUUUAGCGAUCCGAAUA